rnacentral:rRNA from 1 species
AGAGGAAAAGCUCAAAUUUAAAAUCUGACAGUGUUUUGCUGUCCGAGUUGCAACCUAGAGAAGUGUAACCUGUGCUGGACCAUGUACAAGUCUCCUGGAAUGGAGCAUCGCAGAGGGUGAGAAUCCCGUGUUUGACAUGGACUACCAGUGCAUUGUGGUUGUGCUCUCAACGAGUCGAGUUGUUUGGGAAUGCAGCUCUAAAUGGGUGGUAAAUUCCAUCUAAAGCUAAAUAUUGGCGAGAGACCGAUAGCGAACAAGUACCGUGAGGGAAAGAUGAAAAGAACUUUGGAAAGAGAGUUAAACAGUAUGUGAAAUUGUUGAAAGGGAAACGUUUGAAGUCAGUCAUGUCGGGUGGGGAUCAGCCUGGCAGAUUGUUGGGUGUACUUCCUGGUUGACGGGCCAACAUCAGUUUUGACUGCCAGAGAAAGGUGAAGGGAAUGUGGCACCUUUGGGUGUGUUAUAGCUCUUUGUCGUAUGUGGUGGUUGGGACUGAGGA